GGCCGGGUCUUUUCCUUCCUUUUUUUGAUCACCGGCACCACCAGUUGUGGCAUCUCACCACUAGGAUGGGACCCUCACCUCCCAGCCUUCCUUCCCUAUGGGUCUUGGCCACCGGCAACGGGCCAAUGAUAGAAAAAAAAAAAAGAAAAGGGUGGGGUCCCUGUUUUUCCAAAUUUUCCUCCACCGGUUGGACCUCGCCGCCGGCCUUCUCUUGCCCUGUCACUAUCAA
rnacentral:lncRNA from 1 species